UACGUAGGGUGCGAGCGUUAAUCGGAAUUACUGGGCGUAAAGCGUGCGCAGGCGGCGCGUUAAGACAGGUGUGAAAGCCCCGAGCUUAACUUGGGAAUUGCGCUUGUGACUGGCGUGCUGGAGUGUGGCAGAGGGAGGUGGAAUUCCACGUGUAGCAGUGAAAUGCGUAGAUAUGCGGAGGAACACCGAUGGCGAAGGCAAUCCCCUGGGCCUGCACUGACGCUCAUGCACGAAAGCGUGGGGAGCAAACAGG
rnacentral:rRNA from 1 species